rnacentral:rRNA from 1 species
UACGUAGGGUGCGAGCGUUAAUCGGAAUUACUGGGCGUAAAGCGUGCGCAGGCGGUUUUGUAAGUCAGAUGUGAAAUCCCCGGGCUCAACCUGGGAACUGCGUUUGAAACUACAAGGCUAGAGUGUAGCAGAGGGGGGUAGAAUUCCACGUGUAGCAGUGAAAUGCGUAGAGAUGUGGAGGAAUACCAAUGGCGAAGGCAGCCCCCUGGGUUAACACUGACGCUCAU